rnacentral:tRNA from 1 species
AUCUAAAUAGCUUAUAGUUAGAGCAUAAUAUUGAAGAUAUUAAGGAAAUAAAAUAUUUUUAGAUA